AUGGGAGAGACUAGAGAUCUCUUCAAGAAAAUUAGAGAUACCAAGGGAACAUUUCAUGCAAAGAUGGGCUCAAUAAAGGACAUAAAUGGUCUGGACUUAACAGAAGCAGAAGAUACUAAGAAGAGGUGGCAAGAAUACAUGGAAGAACUGUACAAAAAAGAUCUUCAUGACCCAGAUAAUCAUGAUGAUGUGAUCACUAAUCUAGAGCCAGACAUCUUGGAAUGUGAAGUCAAGUGGGCCUUAGAAAGCAUCACUAUGAACAAAGCUAGUGGAGGUGAUGGAAUUCCAGUUGAGCUAUUUCAAAUCCUGGAAGAUGAUGCUGUGAAAGUGCUGCACUCAAUAUGCCAGCAAAUUUGGAAAAUUCAGCAGUGGCCACAGGACUGGAAAAGGUCAGUUUUCAUUCCAGUUCCAAAGAAAGGCAUUGCAAAAGAAUGCUCAAACUACCGCACAAUUGCAGUCAUCUCACAGGCUAGUAAAGUAAUGCUCAAAAUUCUCGAAGCCAGGCUUCAGCAAUAUGUGAACCAUGAACUCCCUGAUGUUCAAGCUGGUUUUAGAAAAGGCAGAGGAACCAGAGAUCAAACUGCCAACAUCCACUGGAUCAUGGGAAAAGCAAGAGAGUUCCAGAAAAACAUCUAUUUCUACUUGAUUGACUAUGUCAAAGCCUUUGACUACGUGGAUAACAAUAAACUGUGGACAAUUCUGAAAGAGAUGGAAAUACCAGACCACCUGACCUGCCUCUGGAGAAAUCUGUAUGCAGGUCAGGAAGCAACAGUUAGAACUGGACUUGGAACAACAGACUGGUUCCAGAUAGGAAAAGGAGUACAUCAAGGCUAUAUAUUGUCACCCUGCUUAUUUAACUUCUAUGCAAAGUACAUCAUGAGAAACACUAGGCUGGAUGAAGCACAAGCUGGAAUCAAGAUUGCCGGGAGAAACAGCAAUAACCUCAGAUAUGCAGAUGACACCACCCUUAUGGCAGAAAGUGAAGAGAGAACUAAAGAACUUUUCUUGAUGGAAGUGAAAGAGGAGAGUAAAAAAGUUGGCUUAAAGCUCAACAUUCAGAAAACGAAGAUCAUGGCCUCCGGUCCCAUCAUUUCGUGGGAAAUAGAUGGGGAAACAGUGGAAACAGUGUCAGACUUUAUCUUUUUGGGCUCCAAAAUCACUGCAGAUGGUGACUGCAGCCAUGAAAUUAAAAGACACUUACUCCUUGGAAGGAAAGUUAUGACCAACCUAUGUAGUAUAUUCAAAAGCAGAGACAUUACUUUGCCGACUAAGGUCCGUCUAGUCAAGGCUAUGGUUUUUCCUGUGGUCAUGUAUGGCUGUGAGAGUUGGACUGUGAAGAAGGCUGAGUGCCGAAAAAUUGAUGCUUUUGAACUGUGGUGUUGGAGAAGACUCUUGAGAGUCCUUUGGACUUCAGAGAGAUCCAACCAGUCCAUUCUGAAGGAGAUCAACCCUGGGAUUUCUUUGGAAGGAAUGAUGCUGAAGCUGAAACUCCAGUACUUUGGCCACCUCAUGCGAAGAGUUGACUCAUUGGAAAAGACUCUGAUGCUGGGAGGGAUUGGGGGCAGGAGGAGAAGGGGACGACAGAGGAUGAGAUGGCUGGAUGGCAUCACUGACUCGAUGGAUGUGAGUCUAAGUGAACUCCGGGAGAUGGUGAUGGACAGGGAGGCCUGGCAUGCUGCAAUUCAUGGGGUUGCAGAGUCGGACAUGACUGAGCGACUGAACUGA
rnacentral:lncRNA from 1 species